UACGUAGGGGGCAAGCGUUGUCCGGAAUCAUUGGGCGUAAAGAGCGUGUAGGCGGCUCGGUAAGUCCGCUGUGAAAGUCCAGGGCUACCACCGUGAAUGCCGGUGGAAACUGUCGAGCUAGAGUCCGGAAGAGGCGAGUGGAAUUCCUGGUGUAGCGGUGAAAUGCGCAGAUAAUCAGGAGGAACACCAAUGCGAAGGCAGCUCGCUGGGACGGUACUGACGCUGAGACGCGAAAGCGUGGGGAGCAAACAGG
rnacentral:rRNA from 1 species